rnacentral:rRNA from 1 species
ACGAUGAUCCCAGCUUGCUGGGGGAUUAGUGGCGAACGGGUGAGUAACACGUGAGUAACCUGCCCUUAACUCUGGGAUAAGCCUGGGAAACUGGGUCUAAUACCGGAUAUGACUCCUCAUCGCAUGGUGGGGGGUGGAAAGCUUUAUUGUGGUUUUGGAUGGACUCGCGGCCUAUCAGCUUGUUGGUGAGGUAAUGGCUCACCAAGGCGACGACGGGUAGCCGGCCUGAGAGGGUGACCGGCCACACUGGGACUGAAACACGGCCCAGACUCCUACGGGAGGCAGCAGUGGGGAAUAUUGCACAAUGGGCGAAAGCCUGAUGCAGCGACGCCGCGUGAGGGAUGACGGCCUUCGGGUUGUAAACCUCUUUCAGUAGGGAAGAAGCGAAAGUGACGGUACCUGCAGAAGAAGCGCCGGCUAACUACGUGCCAGCAGCCGCGGUAAUACGUAGGGCGCAAGCGUUAUCCGGAAUUAUUGGGCGUAAAGAGCUCGUAGGCGGUUUGUCGCGUCUGCCGUGAAAGUCCGGGGCUCAACUCCGGAUCUGCGGUGGGUACGGGCAGACUAGAGUGAUGUAGGGGAGACUGGAAUUCCUGGUGUAGCGGUGAAAUGCGCAGAUAUCAGGAGGAACACCGAUGGCGAAGGCAGGUCUCUGGGCAUUAACUGACGCUGAGGAGCGAAAGCAUGGGGAGCGAACAGGAUUAGAUACCCUGGUAGUCCAUGCCGUAAACGUUGGGCACUAGGUGUGGGGGACAUUCCACGUUUUCCGCGCCGUAGCUAACGCAUUAAGUGCCCCGCCUGGG